rnacentral:tRNA from 1 species
GGACGAGUGGCGGAACUGGUCUACGCGCUGGACUUAGGAUCCAGUGCUCGCAAGAGCUUGCAGGUUCGAAUCCUGUCUCGUCCA